rnacentral:rRNA from 1 species
UACGAAGGGGGCUAGCGUUGCUCGGAAUCACUGGGCGUAAAGCGCACGUAGGCGGAUUGUUAAGUCAGGGGUGAAAUCCUGGAGCUCAACUCCAGAACUGCCUUUAAUACUGGCGAUCUUGAGUCCGGGAGAGGUGAGUGGAACUCCGAGUGUAGAGGUGAAAUUCGUAGAUAUUCGGAAGAACACCAGUGGCGAAGGCGGCUCACUGGCCCGGUACUGACGCUGAGGUGCGAAAGCGUGGGGAGCAAACAGG